CUGCCUCCCCUUUUGCUGCUGAGAGCCAGCAUUUGGGGGCAGGCAGAGGGAAACGCAUUCAACAGGGAGGAGAGAGGAGAAAAGGAUCCCAGAAAAGGGAUCAGCAUGUCCAGCCAACGUCGGAUCAACACGUCCAGCCAAAGCUGAACCACCCUCCCUGUUUGCUAAUGCUUUUAUUAUCUAGCUGACAAAGAUCAGUUCAUGUUACACGGAGUAGCAAGCAGCUGGGCAGGCAGAUAAAUUUCUAAGAAGGGGAUGCAACUUGUGCAUCAACAAUCACUAGCAAAGUGCUGGCUUUGCCUGGGUUUGCAGUUUUUGACUUGAUCUGAGAGCACUCCAAAUUUAUCAGUUUUUAUCUGCUUUGUGGCCCUGUGGGAACUAUGCAGCGUGGAGGUGUUUGGGUAACCUUGGGCUGUACCUUAAACAGGUUCUUACACCUUUUUAUUUUUUUCCCCAUACAUGAGAACAUUUUGGAUCAGUUUAAUGAGUUCUGCGCUUAGUUACCUUAAUCACAAAUUUAGACACAGCUUCUUAGCAGAUAUGCUAGUAGAAAAAGAAUUUGCUCGGAGUAUUGCUACCACUUCACUCAAGAUGCUUCAGUAUCUGGUUCAUCUUAGUUGUCUGGGGGCAAUUCUGGAAGUCCCCCAAGAGUUGCUCUUCACAAGGAGGUGCUAACAGACAAAGACAUUGCCCUGCUGCACCUCUCUUCUCCUGCCUACGACAAUGGCUUUGUUGAGAUGGCAUCGCUUCCUGCUGAAAGAGACAUUUUACUUAAUAAUUAUAUGUUCCAUUACCAGCUGGGGGCUGGUUAGUGGUAAGUAAAGGCGAAGGAAGAGUGCCAAGGGUCCCUCCUGCUUUUGUAGCACAAUUAUAGGUAUAGUAUAACUAUAGGUCUAUAGAUAUUUACCAUAUUUUUCUGCUAAAUUGUCAUAAUUAAAAGCAGGACGGAUUAAAAGCAGGACAGAAUAAAAAUUAUGACAGGACCCUGGUCCUUGUAGCUGAAGAGGGCGCUGAUUUUUUAAGAGCUGCUGUGCAGGUGUUGUAGCUGGGAAGGACUGCACGUGAUGCAGUGUGCCCUGGACUAUCUGCCUAUGACUGUAUUUGCAGUGGUGGUGUUGGGGUGGGGAAAUUAGGGUUACAGCCCUUUCUGAGGUGUGUAUGGUAUAUUUCUGUGUGUUUAUGCAGUCUGAGGUGAUAAAUAAUGGGUCUGAGCUUUGUAGCAUCCUUGUAGGUGGCGUGCAGGCUGACCGGGGAGCAAAGACAGCUCUGAUCCUAAUCCUGUCAUUCCUAAGUGGUUUGGACAACUUGGCUGAAUAUGUUCCCCUCCUUCCUUUGAUCCAGGGGGACUCCGGGGGCCCUCUCAGCUGUUACAAAGACGGGUGCUGGCAAGUCCACGGGGUGGUCAGUGGUGGGUUAAUUCCCUACUGUAACACCUAUAAGAAACCGACAGUCUUCACACAUGUGUCAGCCUAUGCAGACUGUAUCUACACCGUGAGUAACCCUGGCACAUCUCCCUCAAAGGCAAGGAGAGCCAUUGCAAAGGAGCUGGACCCUUCCACUUAUUAAACCAUUAGGAAUCGAACUGGGAGGUCUGGGCAGGUCUAAAAGCAGGAUAUUUGGUGCUACGUUUGGUGCAAACAACUCUAAGGAAAGAGUUGUUGCCUUUGAGAUUAUUAUUAUUGUUUAUUUAUUUUUCUAGGUAUUCUGGCUGUCUGCUGAAUUCACCUCUUUCUUGUUUUCCAGACCAUGAAGAAUAACGGGGGUUAUUAGAGAAGGAUCAACUUGUGCAUUAACCUGGGAAGAGCUGGAGCAAAAUCCCCCUGCUCAUCAACCCUCUUCGCAUCCCUUCUACACUUUCUUGGGUUAUUCGCCAGGUUUGGCUGAGAUCAUAAUAAAGCAUCAGUGAUUUCACCCAGGGACUUUGAUCCCCUGUUUCUGUGUGACUUCAGCCCUCGGUGGAUGGUUGGGGCAAGCCCACCUGGAGCAUACCAGAUUUCCAAAUAAAAGCUAUGUUCCUGUUAGGCACACUGUGGGGUCGGUGAAGGGAGGCAGAAGAAAGCACAAGAAGGCAGUUUUUGUCUUUUGAUGAGCUACAAAACCAUCUUUUAGGGGCAUCCCUCAACCAUCCUCUCCCUCUGGCAUGAGGACGAGCAUUUGGGAAUGCAGGAUUUGGGUUUCACUCUUUUUCCAUUUCAACCCACUCGUGCCCUGCCUCUCCUAAGGGACACAGCGGUAUUUUUGCGAAAUCCCAGCUCUUUGGGAGCGCUGUUUCUGCUGGCCAAAAGCCACUAGAGGGCAUUGGCAAACCGGAGCAACGCUUGCCGCACUUCUCACCGGCUCCUAAAGAGGUUUUGUGGGCUGAGCGUGAUAAAAUGGCAUGGAUACAGCCUUGCACUCUGUCCUUUGUGUUUGCUCGCAGCCACGCCGAUAAACACCCGGGAGCUGGCUUUAGCUGCUCUUGCAUAGAGGUCUGAUUGGCAACCAGAUAAGCCCUGCUUAAACCCCUUGGCGAGCACAAACUAAAACGGAACCAGCAGCGUUUCUUCAAGGCUUGCAGAAGGGCUGGAGCCCCAGCUGCGUCCACAGCUCUCUGCUUUAUCAGGCUGCCCUUGGCAAUGCCUCCUCUGUGCUCAGUAGUUUGGCAGUUCUCCUCUCUGACACGAAAAAAAAAAAAAAAAAGAA